rnacentral:lncRNA from 1 species
CAAACCAAAAAGGUAGUUUGGAUGAUCUACUAUUGUAUUUUUUCAGCAAGCAGUUUGAUCUUUAGUUCUAGAUUUACAGGACUCCCAAGUUGUAAUGUUUGUCUAAAACACGUGUACACAGGGACAAAGUUAAAGUUCAAACCAAAGCACGUGUAGUCCUUUAUAUUCUCCGAGUUGAAUCCUUAGUCCAUAACCAUCUGCGCCACCAUCAAAAGUAGUGUAUGUACAAGUCAUCAAAAGACAUAUGUACAGGCAGGCCACAUAGUCAAUACACUGUAAAUAUUAAGAAAGACAAGCAGUCAUUGUUAAAUAUGAAAGAGAAAAAUAUAAUUUUCUUUUUAGCUUCUUAUUAUGACCAAAGAUAGGUUUUAAAGCCAAUUUUAUCAUGGGGAAUUAUGAAGGAAAACAGAAUUCAGGAAAAGGAAAAUAAUACAAAUUUUCAGAAUACACUUUGUAUCCUUUGGAUUGUUAUGGUAGAUGGAUGUAAAUAACACCGACCAAAUAAUCCAGUAUUAGGAGCUUUAGAUAAUUUACUUUCUAUAUGACACUAUUUAAUUCCUCUGAAUCUUAUUGUGCAAAGUGUGACGAACUUCAAAGUUUCAUUUAUUUUAGUCCUCACCUGAAGAGCUAAUAUGUACAAAAGAUCAAAAGGUUUAAGUCUUCACCUGUAGUAAAGAAACAUCUAAAAAGAUAGAGAAAACAAGGGAACAAAGUUUGUAGAAAGAGGGAAUCGAAGGAAAGUUCAGUCCCCCCGAAGAAGAUGGUCAUGGACAUGGUAAGCACGUUGAACAGUCAAAACGUAAAGUGAAUUGGAUGAAGAAAACAAAACAUCAUGAAUUUUUAUUCUUUAAUCAUCAAAGGUUCAAAUAUGCAUGGGAUAACGAGGACACUACAGUUAUGAGGACAGAACUGCCUAGUGCAACACUUUUGUCUGCUCUAGUGCAGAGUAUGGUGAACGUUAUCUUCUUCCAAGGAGAUAUAUGGGAAAUAUGGGAAGCACAGGCACUUAAAUGGGCUAUGGAAUACACAACUUUUAACAUUAUGUGUAUUUAAAAAUCAACAACAUCAUGUUCCAGAAAAGUAUUAAAAACUAUUUGAUUAUCUAACGAUUUUGGAGUAAUAUAUCAGCUUAGAGUUUCUAGUGACAAAGAUAAAUCUAACAACUCAAUAACUUCCAACACAGUACCUAUAUAGACUAUAGUUCUAUUUGUUGUAGUAGAUUAAAUGUCUCUUAAUAUAGAGAUUUUCAAAUUUUAUGCUAUAUACAAAGAAGCGACAAAAUGAAACUUUAGUGCAACAACUUAUCCGAUAGUACUUCCUACAACCUCAAUUAAUUUAUAAUCUUUUGUAUCACUUUAAAGAAUAAUAGGUAUCUUUACAACAAAUCCAUAAUUGCAUAUACAACUUCUUUAUUCCACCAAAUGCCUUACUAUGAAGCAUGGGGAAAAGGAAUUAAUAUCUAGCCAUGACAAAAUUUGGUGUGUUGAGUCUUUCUGAUAUGCAAUUGUGAUGACCUGGCUAGUCGUCUCAUGAGUUACCGCUCCAUUUUCUCUAUUUCUACUUCUUUACGCUUCGUUAUCCAUGUUUUAUGUGAUCGGGUUGAUUAGUUUGAGUCCAGAAAGGAUUUGGUAAGAAAUGAGACACUUAGUCUCUUUUAAGAAGGUUUAAGUUGGAAAAGUCAAUCGGAUAUUGACUUAUGUGUUAGAGGGCUCGGAUGUGAGUUCCGAUGGUGCGGUUAGCUUCGGGAGGUGAUUUACGACUUAGGAAUGUGAUCGGAAUUGAUUUUAGAGGUCCGGAGUAGGAUUAGGCUUGAAUAUGCGAAGUUAGUAUUUUGGCAAUUUUCGGUUGAUAGGUGAGAUUUUGAUCCGGGGGUCGGAAUGGAAUUUUGAGAGUUGCUGUAGCUUCGUUAUGUCAUUUGUGAUGUGUAUGCAAAAUUUCAGGUCAUUCGGACGUGGUUUGGUUGGGUUUUUGAUCGAAAGCGUAUUUCGGAAGUUUUUAGAAAACUUUAGGCUUGAAUUCGAUGUGAAUUGACGGAUUGGGUGUUGUUUGAGGUGUUUUGAUGAUUGGAACAAGUUUGAAUGAGGUUUUAGGAUGCGUUGGUGCUUUUGGUUGAGGUCCCGGGGGCCUUAGGUGAGUUUCGGGUGGUCAAUCGGGCUAGUUUUGGUGUUGGAUAAUUGCAGAAAUUGUUCAGCUGUUGCAGACGAAAUUGGCCUUCGCGAUCGCGUGGGGCCAGUCGCGAUCGUGUAGAAGGAUUUUGGGAUGGUCUGUGUUUGGUCUUCGCAUUCACGUUUGCGAACGGUGGGAGGCUGGUGCUUCGCGUUCGCGCGAGGGUAGGUCACGUUCGCAUAGUGGAGUUGGCGCGUGAAGGGUCCAGGAGUUGUUGCUCUUCGCAUUCGCGUAAGUGGGACCGUGUUCGCGUAGGUUGAGGAGUCUAAAGCAUCGCGUUUGCGAGCCCUUGGUUGCGAUCGCGUAGAAGGAAAUCUGGUCAAGUUAAAUUUGUGCAUCGCGAACAGGAGAGUUUGAACGCGUUCGCGAAGAAGUAAAGUCAGAACUGGGCAGAAAGUUUAUAAGUUGUUUCAUCCGCGAUUUUGAGCCAUUUUUCCUCCAUAGUGAGCAUUUUGAGAGCUUUUUGAAGGUGAUUAAAGAGGGAUUCAAGGAGAAUUGAUUGGAGGUAAGAUUUAUGAACCUAAAACGUGAUUCUAUUGUGAAAUUAACCUAGAAAUUCAUGGAACCUGAGCUAAAAAUGGAAGAACUAGGGCUUGGGAUUUUGAACUUUUGAAUUGAGAUUUGAAGGACCAUUUGAGGUCGGAUUUGAGAAUUUUUGACAUGUAUGAACUCGUGGAAGGAUAAGGAACCCGUUGAUGUAAAAAUUUCUGAGUUUUGAGAAGUGGGCUCAGGGCUCGGGUUUUUGCAAAUUUCGGGAUUUUUGAUAUUUUUCGAUUGUUUUUGUUUGGGCUUUGUUCCCUUAGAAUAUUGUGACGUAUUUGUUCUGAUUUUGGUCAGAUUCGACGCGCGAGGUGGCCGAUUUGAGAGGCAAAGGCGUCGCGAGCUAGAGAUUUAGCCGGUUUGAGAUGAGUAAUGAAUGUAAAUGAUGUCUUGAGGGUUUGAAAUCCCGGAUUUGCACAUCGUAGUGCUAUAUUGAGGUGAGAAAAGCGCUUGACGAUGAACAUGGGGUCGUUUACUAUUGGGGAUUGUGACUUAGUCUGCCCCGAUUGAUGAUUUUACCGCGUAUUUGAUUGAAACUUAUCUGUUAUCAUCAUUAUUUGGACUGAUUGUCAUAUUUGGGCUUCGUGCCAGUUAUUUGAACCCUCUGGAAAUUUUUAUCACUAUUACCUCACUGUUUUGACUUACUCCCUGAACUCAGUCGUACUGUUUUUCCCCUGUUUUACAACUCCGCCACUUUUUACUCGGUUUUGGAACUAAAAUAAUAUUUUAAAUGAUGUUUUGGGUUGAGGCCUACUGAUUUACUAAUGCCCGAGGGGCUUAUGUGAUUUCUGGACUGAGUAAGAGCGAGGGCCAGAUGUGAGGAUACAAUGAUACUGAUAUGAGGCUGAGGGCCUAAGAUACAUAUACAUACGCCACGAGGUGGCUGAUAUUGAUAUGAGGUCGAUGACCUAGAUUUGAUGUCACGAGAUGGCUUGAUAUUGCGCUUUGGCCAUAAGGGGCCCCUCUCGGAGUCUGCACACCCCUAGUGAGCGCGAUUACCCAAUUGUGAUAUGAGAGAGAGAGAGAGAGACCGAGGGGCUGGUACUGUUCCACGUGUUUAUUUCUCUUUAAUUGUCUGUCUCUUACUGCUUAUCUGUUGUAGAAUUAUCUUAUUCCGUUUUUCAUUGGUUUAUCGCUUUUAUACUACUUGUUUAACUGUUGCAUUAUAGAUUACCCUGUGUAUACGUGAUUUCCUACUCUUAGUCAUUAUUUAUGCUUAUUACUCACUGUGUCAGAGUACUCACAUUACUCCCUGCACCUUGCGUGCAGAUCCAGGUGUUCCAGAGGUUGAGUGAGAGCUUUCCAGUCGAUCAACAUUAUCCGGGAGUAUCGAGGUAGCUGCAUGGCGACCGCAGCCUUGAUUUCUCCCUUCCUUCCUAUUGUAUUCCGCAUUCCUAGACUGUUUGUGUAGUAGGCUGUUGAAUUGUGUUAGUUGAUAUUGGAUUUUAUAAAAAAAUGGGUUGUGGUUGAUAGUUGGUCAGGCUUGCCUAGCAAGGUGUUGGGCGUCAUCACGACCGGGGUUGGGGUCGUGACAGUAGUGUUUAGAGAAUGAGAAAAUUCAAAGUAAAGGUGAUGCUUACAUGGAAUUAGUUUGCAAUCUAAAGAGAUUGAUUUUAUAUAAGAACUAAAUGGGAUCACACAAUUUUACAAAUUACCCACAUAACUUAGAAUUAUCUCAAAUUACAUAAAAUACUACUCACUUUUAAUAUAGAGAUCCUGUAAAACAAAUUUUGCUGGACGACAGGUAAUAAACAAUGACAGAUCUAGGAUUUCUAAAGAACGGAUGCACCACUACCAAACAUAUAUUUUUCCUCUAGCUUAUGGUGGAGAAUGAAGGUAUUUAAUAGCAAUAAAGGUAUUAGAAGUUACUGUCAUGCAUGGUCUCUUUGUCAUUCCAACGGAAAGGGUAGAAAAUUAAUUAUGUAAUGGGUUAAAAAUGCAGGUCUUCAAACAGAGGGGUAAAGUCAAAUUGGACAAGAAAUUAUUUAUCUAAGUAUGAUUCUGCAAUCUAAUAAGCAAAACCUUGCAGAAAAUUGAUCUUAAAUCUUGUAAAAAGAAAUUGAGUCGCAUUUGAAAUUCAGUUCUGAGAUCCACGAAAAAUCUUGAUACCAACCAGCUUAUUCAUUAUCAUGUAGUGUGCUUAUUUCUAUUCUGGGCCAGCCACUCAUCACGUAAGAGCUACUGUGACCAGCAAACAUUAGCUCAACUCUAAUUUUAUGUGCAUCUUUUAUGAAACCUCAUAGGGCAGAAAGUAAAAUACCAAAGAGAGGCAGAGAGAAUAGGUCAUUUGAUAUCACGUGCCGAUCAGUAGCCUAACUCACUACAGAGACUAAAACAACCUCAAUGCCAUGUUGAAAGGCUCCCAAAUCCCUCACUCUCUUGCAGACUAAUUUGGAGGGGGCUUCUGUUGCAUUAUCUGCCAGUCUUCUAGAUAGAACUAAUUAACAAUACCUCUUAAUAUGUUUCACUUAAAAUCUUUUCAAUGAUCUUCUAAUCACACAUAAUAAUAGACUCCAACUUAAGCUCAACACAUGAAUAUAUUGAAUCAAGUAUAAUAGUAAAUUCAAUACGAUUGUUGAUGAGUUUCUUGUUAUUUUCUUCACUUUCAAACAGAGGCGGAUCCAGGAUUAGAGACUUAUAGGUUCCUGCCACGGUAAAAUAUUUACCAAUAUUUAGUGAAUUUCUUAAUAUAAAUACAGGGUCUACGUAAGAAUUACUGUAUUCCCGAAAACCCGUAGCUCAUGCACUGCGUCCGCCCCUGCUUUCAAAUACACACGAAGAGAGACAUGCAAUAAGAAUUUGAAAAAUUUCUCAUCUUGCCCUUCCAUAUUAUGCUUUUAGCGGGUUUACGUAACACAAAAGGUUCAUAAAGACAGAGAAACGUAAUAGAGGAGACAAACUUACCAGGUUGAGAUGAGAAAAUCUGGAAGCCCCAAAGCAGAGAGAAACAGAGGAUAUUCCGGGGGGUUUUUGAAGAGUACACCACCAACUUUUUAGCUUCCAUGUUAAUCUUAUUUUUCAAAAUCUGUCCUUGACCGUGACACCGUGU